CCGCCGAUAGCUCAUCAGGUAAGAGCCACUGUUGACUAACAGAGGUGCGAGGUUCGAGUCCUCGUCGGCGGACCA
rnacentral:tRNA from 1 species